GACGAACGCUGGCGGCGUGCUUAACACAUGCAAGUCGAACGGAAAGGCCCUGCUUUUGUGGGGUGCUCGAGUGGCGAACGGGUGAGUAACACGUGAGUAACCUGCCCUUGACUUUGGGAUAACUUCAGGAAACUGGGGCUAAUACCGGCUAGGAGCUCCUGCUGCAUGGUGGGGGUUGGAACGUUUCGGCGGUUGGGGAUGGACUCGCGGCUUAUCAGCUUGUUGGUGGGGUAGUGGCUUACCAAGGCUUUGACGGGUAGCCGGCCUGAGAGGGUGACCGGCCACAUUGGGACUGAGAUACGGCCCAGACUCCUACGGGAGGCAGCAGUGGGGAAUAUUGCACAAUGGGCGGAAGCCUGAUGCAGCAACGCCGCGUGCGGGAUGACGGCCUUCGGGUUGUAAACCGCUUUCGCCUGUGACGAAGCGUGAGUGACGGUAAUGGGUAAAGAAGCACCGGCUAACUACGUG
rnacentral:rRNA from 1 species